rnacentral:rRNA from 1 species
CCUACGGGGGACUGCAGUAGGGAAUCUUCCACAAUGGGCGAAAGCCUGAUGGAGCAACGCCGCGUGGGUGAAGAAGGUCUUCGGAUCGUAAAACCCUGUUGUUAGAGAAGAAAGUGCGUGAGAGUAACUGUUCACGUUUCGACGGUAUCUAACCAGAAAGCCACGGCUAACUACGUGCCAGCAGCCGCGGUAAUACGUAGGUGGCAAGCGUUAUCCGGAUUUAUUGGGCGUAAAGGGAACGCAGGCGGUCUUUUAAGUCUGAUGUGAAAGCCUUCGGCUUAACCGGAGUAGUGCAUUGGAAACUGGGAGACUGGAGUGCAGAAGAGGAGAGUGGAACUCCAAGUGUAGCGGUGAAAUGCGUAGAUAUAUGGAAGAACACCAGUGGCGAAGGCGGCUCUCUGGUCUGUAACUGACGCUGAGGUUCGAAAGCGUGGGUAGCAAACAGGAUUAGAUACCCGUGUAGUC